GAUGUCUCAAAGUUAUUUUUGUUGACAAUAACUUUAUAUGAGACACCAUAACGUUAACAUAGAAUAACUAAUGCUUCGAUAGUUAUUUGAAUUUUUGAAGCUAAGUAGUGUUUGUGUAGUUUUCAGCUAGAACAUUAUCGAAAACUAAGUGAAAACUAAAUUUGUAGAAAUCUAGUAUUUCAGUCGUUUGGACGAGGGUUCGAUUCCCUCCGACUCCACUA
rnacentral:tmRNA from 1 species